UUAUAUUAGAUAAAAACUAUCCUAGCAGCCACCUUGUCGUGCAAUAUCGUUCUCCUCUUCGUCUGGACAAAGAAGAAGAAGAACCCAGUUCCUCCACAUCGUUUCAACUCUGAGUAGGGAUUCGGCGUCGCAGCAGGUUGAGGUGGAGGAGGAGAUUGAAGAGCCGGAGGAGGUCAUUCCUAUUCUAUCUUCCAAAGCAGUUAUGGUUGAAAAGGCAUUCAAUUUAGCUGCACAAAAGAUGGGAUUUAAAUUUGUGUCCAAGAAUUGAGGCACAAUUCUGCUGCACCGUGUUGAGGAGAAAGUGACAUGGAGGGUUUGCUUGCCCACAUCUUAUCCACUAGUGAAGCUAAUAGAAGGAAUGCUAAUAAAGUGGUUCUGUAUAAGGAUGCAGCAAAGAAACAACUGCUGGAGUUUAUUUCUGCUCUUCGUGGUUGUGAACUAAUGUCACAAGCAUGCUCUUCUCUUGGCGUUAUUAUGAAUAUUGUUUGGAGACACACCUUUUUCUGUACUCAUUUUUGAACACAAUUAGUUGGGAAUUUCUGAAUGUAGAAGGGUGUUGAAGCUUUGGCAGAAGAUGUUCCAGCGAAUUAAAGCCUGUACCUUCUAGGCGCUCAUCAAAGAGGAACAGAGCAGCAAAAGUUCAUAAUUUGUCAAAAAAAAUUUUCUAAAUUCCUACAGUGGCUUUUUGUGGUACUUGGUUUUGAUUUCAUUCAAACAUAUGGUAGUUUUCCUUGUUGAGCAGAGAAGAAGGAGUAGGAUCAAUGAAAAAAUGAAGGCCUUGCAACAUCUAAGUCCUAAUUCUAUCAAGACAGAUCUUCUUUUGAUCGACUCCGUCAACAGGUCGGCUAAGAUAAAGCUAGCGAACUUUUGUGUCAUCAACUCAUCAAGUCUGCAUAUGGCAUCAAUGAGUAUCUAAAAUUUUUUAGUAUUACAGAUAUACAAGCUUGAAUUGGAGCAAAAGAGAUUAGAGGGGGAUGCUUUUGUUUAUAAUUUCCCUCAACAGUAGCUUAAACUCUCACCAGUAUAACAGAAGGUAUACUAUUAAUUCGAGUCCAUCAUAAGAGGAUUAAUAAAUAUCUUUCCUUCAAUUUUGUUGCAGAAGUAUGUUAAUGCUAUUUAAAUGAUGCUGUAGUUUCACUAAGACAUUUUGUAUUAUCUAGUUAGUUAGCUUGGCUUCUGCUUAUAAAGUAUCUCUUAUAUUAAUAUGCUACGUAUUUAACAAAGAUGCUUGAAAUUGGGUCUUGUAUGGACAAUGCGAAAUCCCGUGAACUGAUAGAGAACAGAGACGACGAAUUUGCUGACAUUUCUUUUGAAGAAUUAUUAGCACAAGAAAAGAAGGAUUCAUUCUGAUUCAUCAUCAUCUUCUUGUUCUUUGAGUUUGUGGCUGUCACCGAACGAAAGCAAACGAUGGGGAGAAUACUUCUUUCUCUUGUACACAUCGUUCUGGCUCACACUCUCUCGGCAUUGUUGUUCCCCUCAAACUCUACGAGAACUUCACAGAGUUGGAGUAUUUACUUCUUGGAUUGGUCUCAGCUGUUCCUUCAUUCUUGAUACCAAUGCUGCUAGUUGGUAAGGCUGAUGGAAACUUGCAUUGGAAGGAUCGCUAUUGGGUUAAGAAGUUCUUGACAAACAACUUCAUGUUCACUCCCGAAGUUUUCCCACAACCAUUACAUGGUAUGGAGAUUUCACGCCAUGUAAGAGAUUAUCUCUCGAACUUCAUCACUUCCUCCUCCCCCUCUUCAUCGACCGCCAAACACAACACUCAACGACAUAUAUCAAGUCCUCAACAACUACUCGUUUGGAAAAUUAAUGACGGAGAAGCAUAUCUCUGAGCUGGCAUCCAAGAGUGCAGAGAAUGGCGGCCUAGUGAACAUCGUUUAUACAUCCCAUGAUGUAAUCAUCGAAGGGUUCUAUAACACAGCAUGCGGGACUCUGUCAGCAUUACAAACACUCAACUCAGUUAUGGCUGGGGAAUCCCGAGACAUAGUUCCAAAUAAGUAGUCGUUGAGGACUUGAUAUAUGACGUUAAAAGUUGUGUUUGGCUGUCGCCGACGAGGGGGGCAGGAGUAGGAAGUGAUGAAGUUCGAGAGAUAAUCCCUCUUAGAUGGGUGAAAUUCCCAUACCAUGUAAUGGUUGUGGGGAAACUUCGGGAGUGAACAUGGAGUUGUUUGUCAGGAACUUCUGAACAUAAGGCACAUGAAACAAGAGAGAAAUAAGAAAGAGUAAUAAGGAGGAGAAAGAAGCCAUUUCUUAUGUAUAAGGAACGUGAAAUGAAGAUGACAUACUGUUAGAAUAUAUAAGAAAAUCGGUUAAGAAAAAA